GACGAACGCUGGCGGCGUGCUUCAUACAUGCAAGUCGAACGAGAAUCUCUAGCUUGCUAGAGAGGAAAGUGGCGACGGGUGAGUAAUAUGUAGAGAAUCUGCCCUAAAGAGGGGGACAACAGAGGGAAACUCCUGCUAAUACCCCAUAUGCGCGUAGUUGAGAUACUAUUCGUGAAAGAUUUAUCGCUUUAGGAUGAGUCUGCAUCUGAUUAGUUAGUUGGCGGUGUAAUGGACCACCAAGGCGACGAUCAGUAGCUGGUUUGAGAGGAUGAUCAGCCACAAUGGGACUGAGACACGGCCCAUACUCC
rnacentral:rRNA from 1 species